AUGGGUGGAUAUUUAAAGACCAGGCCUUGGACGCUGCAGCACUUCUAUCUCUGCUUGAUGCCUGCUGCCACGUGGCUGGUCCUCCUCCUCCUGCUGUGGCUGAGCCUUGGGGUGAAGACAGGCAGCUGCUCCCAACCCCAGAACCUUUGCUGUCUUGGGACGGAUCACCACUGCAAGAGGGGAAGUUGCUACUGUGAUGAAUUCUGCCAUGUGGCACCAGACUGCCACCCAGACCACAGUGUCCUCUGCAACCCUGGUAACUCACAUACAGGCCCGAUUCCACCUACAGCAAAGCUGGAUGCGAUGGCUGGCAGAGGCAAACCCUUUGCCUGCACUUCAGGCCAAAGCCGGGAUGUGGCCUAGAUGGUUCCUAAGGUCCCUGACAAUCCUGAGAUCUUGCAUCUUGUCUAUUUCAGGUCAAAGGUGCCUACAUGCUCCUUCUAGCUUUGUUUCCCUGAUGUUCCUUGCCACCUGCUACUCCUCUCUGAGCUACUUUUCCAGGUUCCACAGGGAGAGGUUCAGCUGUCCGUGG
rnacentral:lncRNA from 1 species